AGUAGUAGAAAUCUCAGUAAUGCUGCAGCACAGAAUUGAGCUGGAAAGAGGCAGAGCAUAACGGAUUGUGGAAUAUGUUCAAGUAUGAGUGAGCACCGCUGAGUGGAUUUCCAAAUUUUACAAUUAGUCUCUCCUUUUCUUCCAGUUUCCUUCCUUCCUUCCACACCCUCCCAAUCUUUGCAUCAAGAAACUAUUCAGAAGAAAUGCUGGCACUUAACCAAAGCUGGAAAAGGACCACCAGAAAUGAUCUGGUAGUGGUGAGGCGGCAGCUCAGUCUCGAGACCAGUGAACAGUAAACUGGAAAUCAGAUAACUGCACCCAAGGACCGGAGGGAUUGAUUUUUUGUUUUGACUUAUUGUUUGAAGAUCUGUAACUCAAAGCAGCUCUCACGCCUCUGAUGUCUAAGCUUGAGCAGCAUAAAAGGCUAUUUUUACAACAUGCAGUUUGGCUUGAUCAUGAGACAGGCUGGAACGGAGAAAAAAAAGCCAGCUAAGCUUUUGGAUAGUCCCUGAGUGGAAGUUGCAGUAGAAGCCAAGAACCAGCAUGUCAACUCUGACUACAAGUGAAAGGUUGUUAGUUGGCAGUGUUAAUCUACAGUCAAAAAUAAGACUUCCGGAGUCAAAGCAAGAUCUAACCCGAUCCAGGACCCUCGAGAUGUUUAACUGUAGAGCCAGAGAGGCCAGGCUGGAAUCAAGGUGCUUCAGAGCCCUAUAAUCAGCAAAACCGUGAAGAGGCGUGUUGGUCUUCCCUGGCCUAAGCCCAGGAGUGAAGUCUCUAGAGCCGCCCCCUCCCCAGAUCCCUUAUCCGGGUGUCUCUGAACACUUGGCCUCACGAACUGCACAGCAGCUGGCUGGCCUCCCUCCGGCCCCCUUACCU